rnacentral:rRNA from 1 species
UACGGGGGAGCAAGCGUUGUUCGGAUUUACUGGGCGUAAAGGGCGCGUAGGCGGUCAGCACAAGUCAGUUGUGAAAUCUCCGGGCUUAACUCGGAAAGGUCAACUGAUACUGUGCGACUAGAGUGCGGAAGGGCAAGCUGGAAUUCUCGGUGUAGCGGUGAAAUGCGUAGAUAUCGAGAGGAACACCUGCGGCGAAGGCGGGUUGCUGGGCCGACACUGACGCUGAUGCGCGAAAGCCAGGGGAGCGAACGGG